GUCUAUGUGAACUUUUGGUUGCAGUGUCGUCUAAGAGGGAAGAUAGAUUCCAAUGGCUGCACAGCUGCUUUUCUGGAAGAACGGCUGAAUAUGGGUCUCAAUUUUAUUCUUUCUGCCGAGAUUGAUCACAUGAAGAACGACUACAAAUUCGGGUUUGGUUUGACGGUAGGAGAAUAAAAGAAAAAAGAAGGGUCGGUGGUCUAUAUUUAAGGGGUGUAUUCUUUUUUAUUCUACUUGCUGCUGAUUUAAUUAGCUCGCUCUUGUUUAUUAGUUUCUUCGACUCUUUGAGCACAUGUCAUCAGCACAGCUCAAAUGAGUUACCUUUCGGGGGAUAGAUUUUUCUUAUCCUUUUUUUUGUUUUCGAAGGUAAAAGGAGAGAAUUUUUUAUUUUGUAUUCUGUUUGGGCGGGUCAAACAGCAUCAGCAUUCAUGGUUCCUUUCACUUCUUUGGUAGCCUUAAUUGACGAUGGCAAUUCAAGUCAUGAUUUUUCCUCGAGUAAAUCCUUAUGAUUGAAAUAAUGCAGGUUAAGAUGUCUGCCUUUUUCUUUUGGUUUGCAGGUUAAGAUAUUUCCUGCACUGAUUUAUUUAUUCAUUGAUAUACUGUGGUGGGGUUGGGUAAUAAUAAAAUCCUCGGUUACAGAGAGGCGGAAGGAGGAUCUAAUGGCACACAACCAGGUUGGUACUGAAGUAUACCAUUGAACAGAGGAGGCACAGUCAAGUUAACUCUUCAGCUUGCUGUUGAUUAUCCAUGGCUGGAUUGAAAUCUGUGACAGCCAAGACAUGCUGUUGGCAAUUGCUGUAAAACAACUCAAGGCACAAAUUGAAAACUGACCACGUGGCCUCUAGGAUGCUAGUUCUAUUCAGCUUGAAUAGGAUAGGACGAGGUGGCUGAACCUAAGAACCACGUGGCCUUGGGAGCUCCUAAAGGCUCAAAAGAUGCAUCCAACCCCUGUGAUCUUUGUCUUGUUGGCUCAUUGAGUGCUACACCAGAUGAUUGGAUCCAAAUAGCUGCUGGGAGUGAGUACAGAUCUUUAGGUGGGUGCAGUCGUCAUCAAGGAAGAGUGGACUUUCAAUAACAUUUUUCAUUUUAUUUUCUGGUAUUAAGUUUUCUUUCACCCGUGGUUGAACAGGGAAUCUCUUCAGUGUUGGUGAUGUGACACUAUGAUUGUACCUUGGGUCCAUUAUUAAUUUGCACCCCCUAUUGUAUUGAGUCGAAAGUAACCUUUGCCAGUCCAAUCAUUGUUAGAUCCCAUUGUUGAAGAGAUUCUCUCUUCACCAUCAGUGAGUAGAAACUGGGUUCAAAUC